rnacentral:lncRNA from 1 species
GGCCCAGUUUUCUUUUAUUUUAAAAUAUAAAUUUCCACAAAUAAUAGAGUGACAGAAAGAAGGAUUAGAGUUUAGGAUUGCCAAAUAGAGAAUAAGUAAAUUGAAAUAAGUUAGCUUUCCCAUUGCAGGAUUUUUAUAUAAAAUUGAAGUUCUAGAUUUUUUGAAGUGCUAAUGGAAAUUUAAAAAAUAAAGGGUAAUGAUAGAAAUUUUUAGAAGAAUAAUUAUGAGAAAAGACCUUAACACUUUAUGAACAGAAUAAACUUAGGAAAUUGUUUCUUCAAUCAACGAGGUAUAAAUCCAAAAUUUUUAAAUCUACUUUUAUUGUUGUUGUUCUUUAGGUUCAAAUGCCUUCUGGACAUCUCCACUUUUUGCCAUUCAGUUCUGUUGUGUAAAAAUCUGUAUUUUUUCCAAUUAUAAUUUCUAGCAUGGAUCUGCUCAGAAAGUCUAUCCUUAUAAAAUAUAUAUAUUAUUUUAUAAUAUAUUUUAAUACUCUUUUGACUUAAUUUUUCACAUUUAAUAUAUUUUUACAUCUGGAAUUUAUUUUUGUGUUUGGGGAAAACUCUAAGGAUUUUUUUUCCUCUCUCUCUCUUUGGUACUGGGGAUUGAAUCCAAGGGUGUUCUACCACUGAGCUACAUUCUCAUGAAAAAUGUUUUCAUUUUUUAUUUCGAGGCAGGGUC